CAAACAUGUCAUGGGGACGUAAAAGGGUGAUUUACACGAAGAUGCCAACGAAAAUGUCUAACUGGAGAGACAACGAGAUUCAGGAACUUCUGUCGGUAAGGGCCGACGC